AAUAGCUGAUUGCACCAACAAAUAGUUGAUGCAAUAUUGACUCUGUCAAAUAAAAUUCUAGGUAGAAUUAUGAUAAUGACAUUGUCUGCCUAUAUGUCUUGACCAAAUUACGUGCCAGCAGUCGCGGUAAUACGUAGAAGACUAGUGUUAUUCAUCUUUAAUAGGUUUAAAGGGUACCUAGACGGUAAAUCAAGCCUUCACAGGGACUAAUUUACUAGAGUUACUUACGAGGGGGUAUUAAAGUACUGCAGGUGUAGAGAUGAAAUUCUGUCAUACCUCUUUUCAAAAGAAAAAUUAUGGCACAGGUAUAGGUGAAAGCAUCCCCUUAUGUGAUAACUGACGUUGAAGGACGAAGGCUUUGUGUCGCGAACAGGAUUAGAUACCCCAGUAGUCAAAGCAGAAAAUGAUGAAUGUCAUAGAUUAGAUAAAUAGUUUAUUCUAUAAAUGAAAAUGUAAGCAUUCCACCUCAAGAGUAAUUUGGCAACAUUGGAACUGAAAUCAUUAGACCGUUUCUGAAACCAGUAGUGAAGUAUGUUGUUUAAUUUGAUGAUCCGCAAAAAACCUUACCACAAUUUGAAUAUUUAUAUAUAUCUUUUUUUUUCGUAAAAAAAUAAAAAGGUAAUAUAUUUACAAGCGUUGCACGGCUGUCUUCAGUUAAUGUCGCGAGACUUUGGUUAGUUCCAUUAAAUUAACGUAAACCCUUACUUUAUUUUCAUAUGAAGUAGUUCCCCGCUAUAUUGGAUAUGAUAACAGGGACUAAGACAAGUCAUCAUGGC
rnacentral:rRNA from 1 species